rfam:Pseudomonas fluorescens SBW25 complete genome
UACGCGAUGCCGAAUCCGGGUCGCGUACUUAAUCACUUGGAGAAAACUCAGGAGAUUUUGCAAUGGCU